CCGAUUUCCCCUCAGGUGCCUCCAGGACAACGACUGGGAUUACGGCCAGGCCGGCCAGGUCUUCACCCAGCUCAAGCUCGAAGGGAAGAUUCCCGAGGUCGCUUUUCUCAAGUGAACGUUGGAGAUCCCCGCCCCCUCCCCGGGCCCCGCUCCCGUGUUCGAGUCCUUUCGAUCCCCCCGAGUUUUGUAAAUAAACCGAUCGAUUAUUGAUUA